UACCAGCUCUCCGAGUGGUAGGGAUGAUUAUUGGGCUUAAAGCGUCCGUAGCCGGCUUAGCAAGUCUCCUGUUAAAUUCAGCGACCUAAUCGUUGAGCCGCGGGAGAUACUACUAGGCUAGGAGGCGGGAGAGGUCGACGGUACUUUCGGGGUAGGGGUGAAAUCCUAUAAUCCCGGGAGGACCACCAGUGGCGAAGGCUGUCGACUAGAACGCGCUCGACGGUGAGGGACGAAAGCUGGGGGAACGAACCGGAUUAGAUACCCGGGUAGUCCCAGCUGUAAACGAUGCGGGCUAGGGUGUUGGGGUGGCUACGGGCCACUUCAGUGCCGCAGGAAAGCCAUUAAGCCCGCCGCCUGGGGAUACGGCCGCAAGGCUGAAACUUAAAGGAAUUGGCGGGGAGCACCACAAGGCGUGAAGCUUGCGGUUC
rnacentral:rRNA from 1 species